rnacentral:misc_RNA from 1 species
GACGAUUUGUGUUCUUCGGCAAAGUUGGACAACGAAAGUGGUCGGGAAGGUCUCUCCAUGUCAGAGCAAGCUGAUUCGCGAUGGUAUCAACAUGCUUGCCGGAGGGAGAUGGAGAGACUAGGGUGGGUCCUAGUGGUUUUGUGGCCGAAGCUCCGUUGGCGAACACUGAUUGGAGAAGGGCUCAUUCGCAAGAGAGGAGAGAGGGAUGGGUGUAGGUCUUAUUUUCACUUUAUUUUAUUUUUUAAAUAUUAUAUUAAUAAAAUAAUGAUAAGCUUGAAAAUAUAUUCCGUAAAACAAGGGACUAUUUUGGGAUUUAA